rnacentral:sRNA from 1 species
GCCUCGUGGCAUUGGGACGGCGAGAUCAGAUGCACGUGCGAGUCGAUCGCACCGGCGGUGAGGAUCUUGCCUUCGCCGGCAAUAACAUCGGUUGACGGUCCGAUGACCAGCGCCGGGUCGACGCCAUCGGAAAUAUCGGGGUUACCGGCGCGGCCGAGCCCGACGAUCCGUCCAUCGCGAAUCCCGACAUCGACUCGCUCAAUUCCCCACCAGUCCAGCACAACGACAUUGGUGAUCACCGUGUCGAGCGCGCCGUCGGCGCGAGACAGAGUCGACUGCGCCAUCGAUUCGCGGAU